GGGCGAUUGGUCUAGGGGUAUGAUUUUCGUUUCGCAUAAUAUGGCCAGUAGUUACUGAGCUUACGAAAGGUCGUGGGUUCAAUUCCCACAUCGUCCA
rnacentral:tRNA from 1 species